CGGGAUUAGAAACCCCGGUAGUCCUAGCUGUAAACGAUGGAUGCUAGGUGUGAGCAGAACUAACCCUGCGCGUGCCGAAGCUAACGCGUUAAGCAUCCCGCCUGGGAACUACGAGCGCAAGCUUAAAACUCAAAGGAAUUGACGGGGACCCGCACAAGCAGCGGAGCGUGUGGUUUAAUUCGAUGCUACACGAAGAACCUUACCCAGGUUUGACAUACAGGUAGUAGUGGAGCGAAAGCGGAACGACCCGCAAGGGAGCCUGAACAGGUGUUGCGUGGCUGUCGUCAGCUCGUGUCGUGAGAUGUUGGUUUAAGUACCCUAACGAGCGCAACCCUCGUUGCCAGUUACAAGUGUCUGGCGAGACUGCCGGCCGCAAGCCGGAGGAAGGCGGGGAUGACGUCAAGUCAGCAUGGCCUUUAUAUCUGGGGCUACACACACGCUACAAUGGGUAGCAACAAUGGGUUGCCAAGCCGCGAGGUGGAGCCAAUCCCAUAAAACUGCCCUCAGUUCAGAUUGCAGGCUGCAACCCGCCUGCAUGAAGUCGGAGUUGCUAGUAAACGCGCGUCAGCUAUAGUGCGUUGAAUACGUUCCCGGGUCUUGUACACACCGCCCGUCACACUAUGGGAGCUGACAACACCUGAAGCCAGUAGCGUAACCGCAAGGAGCGCGCUGUCAAAGGUGGGGUUGGUGACUGGAGUGAAGUCGUAACAAGGUAACCGUA
rnacentral:rRNA from 1 species